rnacentral:lncRNA from 1 species
CCUCAGGGAACCUUCUAAUUGCAGUUUAUUUCCCUGAAUCCUGACCUCUCAGUGGUUGACUUCUGUGGAUGGAUUAUCUGUGUCAAUGUUGCUGGAGUGGAAGGUGAAGUGCCCGGCUGUGAGAUGGAUGCCGUCACGUCACAUGGAAAUGCGAAUGCUGUGCAUUCCUUACAGAAAUUCCAUCAGCUUCUCAGCAGCUUCACUCCUGAAAAGACGCAGUGCUAAUGAUUUAAUUUGCAGACCUUAAGGAAUGUUCUAAUUACAAAGGGUGUUAAGUAUUCU